UAGGGAAUCUUCCACAAUGGACGCAAGUCUGAUGGAGCAACGGCCGCGUGAGUGAAGAAGGUUUUCGGACCGUAAAGCUCUGUUGUUGGUGAAGAAGGAUAGAGGUAGUAACUGGCCUUUAUUUGACGGUAAUCAACCAGAAAGUCACGGCUAACUACGUGCCAGCAGCCGCGGUAAUACGUAGGUGGCAAGCGUUGUCCGGAUUUAUUGGGCGUAAAGCGAGCGCAGGCGGAAGAAUAAGUCUGAUGUGAAAGCCCUCGGCUUAACCGAGGAAUUGCAUCGGAAACUGUUUUCGUU
rnacentral:rRNA from 1 species